CGGAGACAACCAACCCAACGAACCGAGCAGACAAAAGCCCGCCGAAACAAAACAGGGAUUGCUUGCUUGCUUGUUUGUUGGGUUUUGUUUCAGCAGAAGAGAUGAGUGUUCAGAUAAAUCAGUUUGAUUCUGGGUGUUGAGAACGCGAAUAGCCACUGUUGGACUUGUGGUCUACAAAAUUCAUACCCUGCGCUAUUUGGUGCCUGUGGUAAAUGAAGGAAGAACUGGACCACUAAUUCAGCUAAAGCUGCUACGACCGACAGUGUCGUGACCUGGAAAAAGCCACUUGAGCUGGAACAAUUCCUGGUUUAUUAGUAGAACACAGGAGUAGUAGUAUUUCUUUGUUAGAAACUAGUUCUGCCCAUGUUGUAUUCUGCAAAACUUUUAUAAGUAAAAGCAAUUGCCUGGCUGAGGAACAUAAAACAAACUUUUAAUGUUUUAAAUUGUAUGAAGCUAUUAUGACACUCACAAAAUGAUCCUAUUAUUAAAUUGUGUCACACCAUCAAAGCUCAGAAACUGUUCACUGAAAUCGCUAUAAUUUUUUUGACAAUACUUCUAAACUCAGCCUUGAGAAUGAGUGAACUAGUUUUGCUGAAAUGC